CACGUAGGAGGCGAGCGUUAUCCGGAUUCACUGGGCGUAAAGCGCGUGCAGGCGGUUUGGUAAGUUGAUCGUGAAAGCUCCCGGCUCAACUGGGAGAGGUCGUUCAAUACUACCGAACUAGAGAGUAGAAGAGGAAGAUGGAAUUCCCGGUGUAGUGGUGAAAUGCGUAGAUAUCGGGAGGAACACCAGUGGCGAAGGCGAUCUUCUGGUCUAUUUCUGACGCUCAGACGCGACAGCUAGGGUAGUAAACGGGAUUAGAGACCCCGGUAAUCCUAGCCGUAAACGAUGUGAACUUGGCGUCGGUGGCUUAAACACCAUCGGUGCCGAAGCAAACGCGAUAAGUUCACCGCCUGGGGACUACGGCCGCAAGGUUAAA
rnacentral:rRNA from 1 species